rnacentral:rRNA from 1 species
GGGAACGUGAGCUGGGUUUAGACCGUCGUGAGACAGGUUAGUUUUACCCUACUGAUGGAGGGUUAUCGCAAUAGUAAUUCAACUUAGUACGAAAGGAACCGUUGAUUCAGAUAAUUGGUAUUUGCAUCUGUCCGAUCGGGCAAUGGUGCGAAGCUAUCAUCUGCUGGAUAAUGGCUGAACGCCUCUAAGCCAGAAUCCGUGCUAGAAGCGAUAACAUUGGUCCCGCACAUGCCUUGUGUUGGAAUAGAGCUUUUGCUCGUACACCAUACGACAGGUAGGGCACAGUUCCGGAAAGGGUGCUGUGUCCCCUGUACAUUACAAUGUGAAACAUGCGCGGGGGAAAAUCCUUUGCAGACGACUUGAAUGGGAACUGGGUGCUGUAAGCAGUAGAGUAGCCUCGUUGCUACGAUCUGCUGAGGCUAAGCCC